UGGGGAAUUUUGCACAAUGGGGGAAACCCUGAUGCAGCGACGCCGCGUGAUUUAGAAGGCCUUCGGGUUGUAAAAAUCUUUUGUAUAGGAAGAAAAUGACAGUACUAUACGAAUAAGGACCGGCUAAUUACGUGCCAGCAGCCGCGGUAAUACGUAAGGUCCGAGCGUUGUCCGGAAUCAUUGGGCGUAAAGGGUACGUAGGCGGGUAAGCAAGUUAGAAGUGAAAUCCUAUAGCUCAACUAUAGUAAGCUUUUAAAACUGCUCAUCUUGAGGUAUGGAAGGGAAAGUGGAAGUCCUAUGGUAACGGUGAAAUGCGCAGUUAUUAGGAGGAAUACCGGUGGCGAAGGCGACUUUCUGGACAUAACCUGACGCUGGGGUACGAAAGCGUGGGUAGCAAACAGG
rnacentral:rRNA from 1 species